rnacentral:rRNA from 1 species
CCUACGGGAGGCAGCAGUGAGGAAUAUUGGUCAAUGGCCGAGAGUCUGAACCAGCCAAGUCGCGUGAGGGAAGACGGCCCUACGGGUUGUAAACCUCUUUUGUCGGGGGGCAAAGCGAGUCACGUGUGACUCAUUGAGAGUACCCGACGAAAAAGCAUCGGCUAACUCCGUGCCAGCAGCCGCGGUAAUACGGAGGAUGCGAGCGUUAUCCGGAUUUAUUGGGUUUAAAGGGUGCGCAGGCGGAGGUGCAAGUCCGCGGUCAAAUUGCGGGGCUCAACCCCGUACUGCCGUUGAAACUGCAGGCCUGGAGAGCGGGAGAGGUAGGCGGAAUGCGUGGUGUAGCGGUGAAAUGCAUAGAGAUCACGCAGAACUCCGAUUGCGAAGGCAGCAUACCGGGGCGCAACUGACGCUCAUGCACGAAAGCGUGGAUAUCGAACAGGAUUAGAUACCCUGGUAGUC